CGUCUGAUGUGCAUGCAAAGUAGAGGGUCUGCAUAUCCAAGCCUCCGUGAAGAUUUAUAUCAAAUAAUUUGGAAUUUGAUCUCUGGUUCUACUAUGUUUCAGGUAAGAAUUUGAUCCUUAAAUAAGUAGAACAUUAGAAAAUUUUUUUUGAUGCAACGUGGGUAUUUUGGAGGGAAACUAUUUCCUUCCCUUCAACCACAUGC
rnacentral:lncRNA from 1 species